rnacentral:misc_RNA from 1 species
CAACCCUCAAGCAAUGCUUGGUAUUGGGCUUCGCUACUCACUUAGCGGGCCUUAAAAUUAGUGGCAAUGCCGUCAGGGCUUUGAGUAUAGUAAAUAUCCUUGCUAUAGAGACUCAGUAGACAUUGGCCAUUAACCCCCUCUCUUUAA